rnacentral:rRNA from 1 species
AACGGCGAGUGAAGCGGCAACAGCUCAAAUUUGAAAUCUGGCUUCGGCCCGAGUUGUAAUUUGCAGAGGAAGCUUUAGGCGCGGCACCAUCUGAGUCCCCUGGAACGGGGCGCCACAGAGGGUGAGAGCCCCGUAUAGAUGGACGCCUAGCCUGUGUAAAGCUCCUUCGACGAGUCGAGUAGUUUGGGAAUGCUGCUCUAAAUGGGAGGUAAAUUUCUUCUAAAGCUAAAUACCGGCCAGAGACCGAUAGCGCACAAGUAGAGUGAUCGAAAGAUGAAAAGCACUUUGAAAAGAGGGUUAAAUAGCACGUGAAAUUGUUGAAAGGGAAGCGCUUGUGACCAGACUUGCGCCGGGCGGAUCAUCCGGUGUUCUCACCGGUGCACUCCGCCCGGCUCAGGCCAGCAUCGGUUCUCGUGGGGGGACAAAGGUCCCGGGAACGUAGCUCCUCCGGGAGUGUUAUAGCCCGGGGCGUAAUGCCCUCGCGGGGACCGAGGACCGCGCUUCGGCAAGGAUGCUGGCGUAAUGGUCAUCAGCGACCCGUCUUGAAACACGGACCAAGGAGUCAAGGUUUUGCGCGAGUGUUUGGGUGUAAAACCCGCACGCGUAAUGAAAGUGAACGUAGGUGAGAGCUUCGGCGCAUCAUCGACCGAUCCUGAUGUUUUCGGAUGGAUUUGAGUAGGAGCGUUAAGCCUUGGACCCGAAAGAUGGUGAACUAUGCUUGGAUAGGGUGAAGCCAGAGGAAACUCUGGUGGAGGCUCGCAGCGGUUCUGACGUGCAAAUCGAUCGUCAAAUCUGAGCAUGGGGCGAAAGACUAAUCGA